AAACAAACAAACUAAGUAAACUGAAAGUCAGUGGCCUUUCUUGGACCCAUCAAAGAAUGGAGUCUGUAGGUCAAAUAGUCACCCUGAAAUCUGGAGUUAGGCAAAUCUAGAGAGGCGUCUGAUUUUCUUGCCUAGAGCAGAAACCUCCAGAGCUAAACCAGUGGGAAAAUCAAAUGGUAAUUAUGAUGAUCUUCUGGAGGGUGAGUUUGAAAUAGCCUGAGAGUGAGACUUCUGGUGCCUUCUCUUUUAGGGGGCCCCUCACACUUUUAUGGGCUCUACCUCCAGUAAUCCCACCAGGUUUUCAUGGUAAUAUGCCAGAAAGUCCUCCUGGCUCUGGCAGAGGCAGGAGAGGAAUUAUCAUUGAGAUACACCACCAUGUUCUCCAUAACAAAGACCCACUCAGAGAAAAAGACUACACCAGAGGUUAUCCCAUGCCAGGGAAGGGCAUUGCUACCUCCUGGACACCUUUUGAACUCCUCUCUCACUUAGAGGGGAAAAACUAUGUCAAGAGAGAAACCCACAGGCUAGGGACACAGCCCACUAGUACACUGAGGUUUAACCAUGAGGUUGUAGAAUGCUUUCCUUCCCCACCCAGAUCACCACUCACAGGGCCCAGGGUAACUGGAUUGUGGCUGACAGAGCUGCAAGCCACACUCUCUGAUAAGGGGUACCUAGGGAAGCCCAAAGUCGAGAGAGUAGGAAAAGACAGAACACUGGAGGAAUUUGACUUCCCUGACACCUCCUUAGACACAGCCCAAGGCCUAACCAGAUUAAUAAAAUCCUCACACUAAAGAUCCAUUUCCUAUUACCCAGUACAACAUGUCCAGCUGUAAACAAAAAAAA
rnacentral:lncRNA from 1 species